rnacentral:rRNA from 1 species
ACAUAAGUAACGAUAAAGCGGGUGAAAAGCCCGCUCGCCGGAAGACCAAGGGUUCCUGUCCAACGUUAAUCGGGGCAGGGUGAGUCGACCCCUAAGGCGAGGCCGAAAGGCGUAGUCGAUGGGAAACGGGUUAAUAUUCCCGUACUUGGUGUUACUGCGAAGGGGGGACGGAGAAGGCUAUGUUGGCCGGGCGACGGUUGUCCCGGUUUAAGCGUGUAGGUGUGUGUUCCAGGUAAAUCCGGUUCACUUUAACACUGAGGCGUGACGACGAGGCACUACGGUGCUGAAGCAACAAAUGCCCUGCUUCCAGGAAAAGCCUCUAAGCAUCAGGUAACACGAAAUCGUACCCCAAACCGACACAGGUGGUCAGGUAGAGAAUACCAAGGCGCUUGAGAGAACUCGGGUGAAGGAACUAGGCAAAAUGGUGCCGUAACUUCGGGAGAAGGCACGCUGACACGUAGGUGAAGUGAUUUACUCAUGGAGCUGAAGUCAGUCGAAGAUACCAGCUGGCUGCAACUGUUUAUUAAAAACACAGCACUGUGCAAACACGAAAGUGGACGUAUACGGUGUGACGCCUGCCCGGUGCCGGAA